AUUACCGAGUGAGGGCCCUCUGGGUCCAACCUCCCACCCGUGUUUAUCGUACCUUGUUGCUUCGGCGGGCCCGCCUCACGGCCGCCGGGGGGCUUCUGCCCUCGGGCCCGCGCCCGCCGAAGACACCAUUGAACGCUGUCUGAAGAUUGCAGUCUGAGCAAUUAGCUAAAUAAGUUAAAACUUUCAACAACGGAUCUCUUGGUUCCGGCAUCGAUGAAGAACGCAGCGAAAUGCGAUACGUAAUGUGAAUUGCAGAAUUCAGUGAAUCAUCGAGUCUUUGAACGCACAUUGCGCCCCCUGGUAUUCCGGGGGGCAUGCCUGUCCGAGCGUCAUUGCUGCCCUCAAGCACGGCUUGUGUGUUGGGCCUCCGUCCUCCUCCCGGGGGACGGGCCCGAAAGGCAGCGGCGGCACCGCGUCCGGUCCUCGAGCGUAUGGGGCUUCGUCACCCGCUCUUGUAGGCCCGGCCGGCGCUUGCCGACACAUCAAUCUUUUUUCCAGGUUGACCUCGGAUCAGGUAGGGAUACCCGCUGAACUUAAGCAUAUCAAUAAGCGGAGGAAAAGAAACCAACAGGGAUUGCCCCAGUAACGGCGAGUGAAGCGGCAAGAGCUCAAAUUUGAAAGCUGGCCCCCUCGGGGUCCGCAUUGUAAUUUGCAGAGGAUGCUUCGGGAGUGGCCCCCAUCUAAGUGCCCUGGAACGGGCCGUCAUAGAGGGUGAGAAUCCCGUAUGGGAUGGGGUGUCCGCGACCAUGUGAAGCUCCUUCAACGAGUCGAGUUGUUUGGGAAUGCAGCUCUAAAUGGGUGGUAAAUUUCAUCUAAAGCUAAAUAUUGGCCGGAGACCGAUAGCGCACAAGUAGAGUGAUCGAAAGAUGAAAAGCACUUUGAAAAGAGAGUUAAAAAGCACGUGAAAUUGUUGAAAGGGAAGCGCUUGCGACCAGACUCGCCUGCGGGGUUCAGCCGGUAUUCGUACCGGUGUACUUCCCCGUGGGCGGGCCAGCGUCGGUUUGGGCGGCCGGUCAAAGGCCCUCGGAAUGUAACGCCUCUCGGGGCGUCUUAUAGCCGAGGGUGCCAUGCGGCCAGCCCGGACCGAGGAACGCGCUUCGGCACCGACGCUGGCGUAAUGG
rnacentral:rRNA from 1 species